rnacentral:rRNA from 1 species
AGGACGAACGCUGGUGGCGUGCUUAACACAUGCAAGUCGAGCGGUGAUCCUCCUUCGGGAGGUGAUCAGCGGCGAACGGGUGAGUAACACGUGGGCAACCUGCCCCUCACACUGGGAUAACCUCGGGAAACCGGGGCUAAUACCGGAUACGACCUCGAGCGGCAUCUCUUGAGGUGGAAAGCUCCGACGGUGAGGGAUGGGCCCGCGGCCUAUCAGCUUGUUGGUGGGGUAAUGGCCUACCAAGGCGACGACGGGUA